CAGAAGAGGCUUAGUGCUCCAGGCUUUCCGAUUAAGGGGUAGUUCAAAAGGUUGUGAACAGAAAGCACCGUAAAAGAGUCUACAGCUCUUGAGCCUGGAAGACAACGGGCUUGACUAUGGAGCUGUGGAGGAAGAAGAGGCAAGCGAUCCGUGUCUCUAAGAUGAGGACGGCCGAUGGAAGAGUGCCCACGGAUCUUCUAUAGGAGCUCUGCCAUGUCCACACUGGGGUGGCAUCCAGCAGCUCCUAGAAACGUUCUCGUCAUUUGUGUCUGGUAUCCAAGAGUCCAAGUGACUGAGACGCCCCAG